UACGGAGGGUGCGAGCGUUAAUCGGAAUUACUGGGCGUAAAGCGCGCGUAGGCGGCUUAUUAAGUCGGAUGUGAAAUCCCUGGGCUCAACCUAGGAACUGCAUCCGAUACUGAUAGGCUAGAGUAUGGAAGAGGGAAGCGGAAUUCCGGGUGUAGCGGUGAAAUGCGUAGAGAUCCGGAGGAACAUCAGUGGCGAAGGCGGCUUCCUGGUCCAAUACUGACGCUGAGGUGCGAAAGCGUGGGGAGCAAACAGG
rnacentral:rRNA from 1 species